CAUACACACAUUUCCCAGUGAUCCUCACUUCUGGGGAUUCACACCCCAUGUAGCCCCUUUCCACAUGGAAUCUGGGCUGGCCUGUGUGAUGAAUAGAAUAUGAUGGAAGUGAAAGUGGUGACCUCCAAGGCGAAGUCAAAAAGGCAUUGCAGCUUCUGACAUGGCCCUUGGGUCAGCUGCUCUGCAGGAAGCCAGCUGCCAUCCCAUGAGGAUGCUCAAGUAGCCCUGUGGAGGGGCCCCAGGGACACCGGGCACGGAUCAACAGCCGGCACCAAUCUGCCAGCCAUGAGUGAGCCACCUUGGGAGGGGAACCUCCAGUCCCGGUCCAGCCUUCAGAUGACUGCAACCUCAACUGACAUCCAACUACAACUUAGUGAGUGACUUUGAGCCAGAACUGCCCAGCCAAGCUGUCCCUGAAUUCCUGACCUACAGAAAUCAUGAGAGAUCAUCAGUGGUUAUUGUGCACAGGGUCUGAGACAAUCACAGCAGAGGAGCCUGCAGACAGCAGCGCAGGUGGGAGCUCAUGGCGUGGGAAGAGGCUACACAUUUCGGUGCCUGGAUUCCAAUCUACCUCCUUCACUGACUUGCUGUGACCCAAGGCAAAGCUGAUUAGUCUCCCUGAGCCUCAGUUCCCUCAAGUGUGAAAGUCAUAAUAACUGAAUUUUCAGUGCCACCAGGAUUGGAGCCUGAUCUAUCUAUUGUCUUCUGGAAACCCAGUGACUCCCAUGGAACUCAGGCCCUUUGGUGGCUCGGAAGAGUCUCUCCAGCCAGCUGGAGGGAGUUGGCUGUUAC
rnacentral:lncRNA from 1 species